rnacentral:lncRNA from 13 species
GUUUUUGGAAUCUUCAUAACCAAGAGGAACAACAAUGACACACUGAUUAUGAUGUUGGCAUUUUGUAGGCCAAUUUGGAAAGUGUAGAAUGACUACAUUACCCAUAAUGCUCAUUGACUGAACAUUCCACCUUACCGUGGGAAAUUUGGUAGUUUUUUUAAAUGCUCUGGAAUUGAGAGCAGUAUCCAAACCAAAUAUCUUAGGAGAAUAAACAAUAUAUUUUUGUUGUUUGGCUUCAUUGUCCAUCCUCAAAGGUGAAAUUGCAUCAAAUCGAAUGAAACAUUUCUAAUGAUGGGGUGCCACUAGAUAAAACAUAUUUGUAUAUACUCAUCUGCCUCUUCAGGCGUAAGCCAGUAGGUUGACACCAUCCAGUCAGCUGCUAACUUACUCUCUGUCUCCCCUACAGGUGUCUGUCUGAUGUGCACCGUUCAGGUCUACCUGACAGUGUGGCAAACCAUGCCUCAAAAGCAGACCUCAUGUGGAAGGUCAAGUACUCCUUGUCGGGAUACGAUUUGAAGUAUCUGGGGGACACGCAACAGGUAACUGAGGCACUACUCUCUUGUGUACGAGUGCUCUUCUUGCAAGGGUUCAUUUUCUCUUUUUAAUUUGCUUUUAUCUUGGUGUGUUUCUUUCUCUUCCUCAUCAUAGGACGCACACGAGUUACUCGUCAAUAUGCUGUGCCAGCUGAAGGAGGAGGGCAUGAUUCUGAAGACACUCGGGAUGAACUAUACCUGCCCUGUUUCCCAGCUGGAGUUCCAGCUUGUGUCGGUGCGCNNNNNNNNNNGAUGGGGUGCCACUAGAUAAAACAUAUUUGUAUAUACUCAUCUGCCUCUUCAGGCGUAAGCCAGUAGGUUGACACCAUCCAGUCAGCUGCUAACUUACUCUCUGUCUCCCCUACAGGUGUCUGUCUGAUGUGCACCGUUCAGGUCUACCUGACAGUGUGGCAAACCAUGCCUCAAAAGCAGACCUCAUGUGGAAGGUCAAGUACUCCUUGUCGGGAUACGAUUUGAAGUAUCUGGGGGACACGCAACAGGACGCACACGAGUUACUCGUCAAUAUGCUGUGCCAGCUGAAGGAGGAGGGCAUGAUUCUGAAGACACUCGGGAUGAACUAUACCUGCCCUGUUUCCCAGCUGGAGUUCCAGCUUGUGUCGGUGCGCACAUGUACCAGCUGUGGGCGCGAGUCGUCCACCAGAGAGGACUACAACCACCUCUCAUUGGACAUCAGCCCUGAGCGCACCUUGCUGAACAGCCUAGCACUCACUUUCAAAAGUGAACAGGUUGAAUUCACAUGUGAGGGCUGUAAAGGCCUCCACGCCUCAAAGGUGGAGCAGUUCCACACACUGCCUCUGUGAGUUGUCCCUUUAUAACCUCUCAUAGUACUAGCAGUGUUUAAUGUCCUGAGCCUUUAGGAGUAGUUACCUUCCUGAGCAGGUUGUAGGACUUAGAGGUGAGCACCGCCAAACAAAUUUCACUCAUCUGUUAUUUUGUUGACUGGUUNNNNNNNNNNAGUACAGUGCCAUCCUAGAGUCUCUUUGGAGAGUUGGGUUUAGUGCUACCAGACCAGGGCCAGUGUUAAUCAACAGUAUGAGUGCUAAUCUAGGAUCAGGUUCUCUCUGUCCAUAAUAAUCUGAUUCAUUGAUCUAUGAUCUAAAAUGCAAAACUGGUCCUAGAUCAGACUCCUACUCUGAGACACUUGGUAAACACAGUCCCAG